GUGGCUGUGGCCUAUAAAUACGCCUCUCCCGGCUCUGCGGCAGGCAUUCAGGCAGCGAGCGCAGAGCAGCGCGGGAGGCGGCAGCGCAGCUUGGGGAAGCCGCAGAUAAGUUGUUCGAUUUAAAAAAGAAAAGAUAGUGACUAGGAUAACUAGCAAAUAUAAAUAGGAACUAGCUUUCUAAUAUACUGCUUAGCGCUAAAUUCUUAGAGUAAUUUUGGUACCUUUUUAAAAGAUUUUAGAGGAAAAUAGGAAAGGCUGUUUUAAAAGUUUGAGAAAGGAAGAAAGAAGAAAAACGUAUUUGUACAACAUGGCAGAUUGAGACGAAGCUUCUUCAUGAAGUAAAAAUAUUUUUACAGAAAUUGUCGAAAAGGACUGCAAAGUCCUUAAUAAAAGCCUUUAGUUGAAGGGCAGGCUUUGUAAACUAGCAUUAAAAUAAGACGAUUUAAACAAUCUAAAUAAACCUCAUUUAAAAGAGCGAAGUGUAGGUGGUGAAAAGCCAUUUAAAAGAGUACAGAGUAGGUGAUUAAUUGGAAGGCUUUAAAAGGUUAAGUUGAAGGUGGUUAAGAAACCUUCAUGGCGGAGGAGAAAGAUGCGUCAUUCCAAGCCUAGUUAAUCUUAAAGCAUUGUUUGCUUAAAAAAACAUGAAAAUAGGAAAGGCUUAACGGGGAGUGGUAGGAUAAAAACCAAUUUGGAGAAAGAAGAUAGAAAUUUGAAGUGGAAAACUUGAAGACAGAAGUACAGGAAGGUGAAGAAAAGAUAGAGAAGAUGUAGGAAAACUAGAAGAUUAAAUAUACUCCUUUAGAAGACAAAAGAUAAUUUUAAACCCACAAAAUAGGAAGCAGAAGAAAACUAGGAGAAAAAGCAACAAAGAGUGGAGUGUACAAACCUUAGAAGAACUAGAAGAUAGAAACAAGGUAGAAAAUGGUUGAAAAUGUCAUGGAAAGGUAUUGCAGAUAGAAAAUGCAAGACGCUAAGACAACUAUUGGAUACAAACAUUCAAGAUAGACAAGGUAGAAGAGAAGUUGGAAGCAAAAAUUGGAUAAAGUAGAAGAACUGAAAAGUGGAAGUGAUUAGUAGUUUGUUUUUUAAAAGCCCAUCAAUUUUAAUUUUUGGUGGUGCAGAAAUUAGAAGCCUCAGAUGAGGCUGUUAAAAAUUUAUAGACCAGAGCCAAUUUAGAAGAAUGUUAAACUAGAAGGAAGUUGGUUUAAAGCCACAUCAAAAUUAAAAGGACUGAAGUAAUUUUAAAAACUAAGGCAGAAUGCUUUUGGAAGAAUUGAAUUUAAAAGGCCUUAAAUCCCGUAGUUUAGUUUAGUUUGAAAAAUAUAAGGACUUUGAUACUGAAGUAAUUCAAGAUCAAGAGUAAUGUGUUUCAUUGGACUUUUGAGCUAAGAUCUGUAAAAUGAUAAGGACUAGCAGUAAUUGGCAGCCGACCAGGUGCUACGCAGAAGUGGAUGCAGUGACCCUAGGAAGGAAGACAGGAGCAGCAGACAGGAUUCCAGGAGCCAGUGUUCGGUGAAGCUAGGACUGAGGAGCAAGCGGCAGGCCGUGGUGAAGAUAGGAAGGAGUCCAGGAGCCUGUGCGAGUUGGUGAAGGAAGCUAGGAAGAAGGAAGGAGCCCUAACGCUUGGUGGUGAAGCUAGGAGAGCAUUCGAGGAGGAAGGAGCCAGUGCGAUCUGGUGAUGAAGCUAGCUGGCCUGGGCUUGUCGACCCCGCGGAGGAGGCGAGCGUGCGUUGUGGAGGAUAGAUAGCCCACCCUAGACGCGCAUGGCAGUGUGCCAGGCUACGGGAGAGCGAGUGGUGUGGUAAAAGUCCGGGAGGUCGGCGAUGUCGUAUUUUUCUGUAACUUGAGCGUGGUAACUUUAUUUUCCUUGUUCCCUAAUGGUAAUGGGGGAGUUGGACGUCAGCGGAAAGGGAUUUACGUGGGUGUGUGUGCGCACAUAGGCCGGUUUCCGGGUGUUAUAGGUUUUUCUUUUUCAGGCUUAUGUUCUCAUCUUGUGUGAAGCUUGAGGGCAGACUGCCAAGGCCUCGAGAAAUGGUAGAUGGCAAGUUUGUUUUUUUCACCAGCUUGAAGUAAAAAUGAAUUUUAUAGAACAAUUUCUGCAAAUUUUUAAGCAGCUUGUCUUUUUUUAGAUAGCAAUGAAGUAUUUGGUGAAUAGAUGAGCUGUUCUUUCCUCACCUUGAAUUAGUUUUGUAAAUAAGUCUGGGAGUAUAACUGGGGGGAAAGUUUUGUUUUUUUGGUGUGUGUGUGUGGUGGGGAUGGGAAAAUGUUUUUGAGUUCUUUUCCCCUUAGGUCUUUCUAGAAUCCUAAAGGCAAAUGACUCCAAGUAACAGAAAAAAAGAAAAUCCAGUAUCAGGAUAAUCAGAACACCACAGGUUUACAGUUUCUAGAAACUAGAUCCACGAGUAGCUCUCACUUUGUGGAGGAGGUGUCCAUUGGAGAAAUGGCUGGUAGUUACUCUUUCUUUCCCCCCCUCUUAAUCAGAUUAAAAGUGUUAAACCCCUUCAACUUGUUAUUACCUUUGGGGAUUGUCUUAACAGGGAAGAGAGAGGGUGGGGGAGCAAAUGUUUUUUUUCUAAGAUUUUCCACAGAUGCUAUAGUACUAUUGACAAACUGGGUUAGAGGAGGCAUGUACUGCUAUGCUGUUGGCACCAACACCUUCAGGGAUUGGAGCAGCUUUUAUCCUUGGAAGAAUUUUCCCAGUUGAAGCUGAAAAGUGCAGCACAGUGCAGCUUUGGUUCAUGUUCAGUCAACUCAGAACUUCAGAAGCGCUUGACUAGGCCAAAUGUUGAAGUUAAGUUUCCAAAUAACAUAAUUUAAAAUACUUCAUUAAAGGGGAGGGGCAAAUUUUGACAAUUAGUUUGCAGUGGUCUAUUGUGGUUGGGAUUGGGGGGGUGGGUUUAGGUAAUUGUUUAGUUUAUGAUUACAGAUAAUUCAUGCCAGAGAACUUAAAUACUUAGGAUGGAAAAACUAAAGAACUCUCAACUUCCAAGUUGGCAAGUAACUCCCAAUCCAUUAGUUUUAUUUCCUCCAAGUUCUGAAUUGGGCAGCAUGGGAAGAUUUUUAACUGGAUUGUACCAGUGCAUUAAUUUGGGCAAGGAAAGUAAACAUGGUAAUAUGGUUUCUAUCCCCCUCAGUGUCUAGGACUUGGGGAAGGAAAGUGUUGGAGUGGGGGUUGGUCUGGCUUAUUUGGAAUGACAUUGAAUAGCUACAGUUCUGGGAAUUUUAAAAAGCUUAAUUUUGGAUAUAGAUGGUAGUGUGUGGUUCUCUUUUGGAAUUUUUUUCAGGUGAUUUAAUGUAACUUAAUACUACUAUAGGAACUUCAGAGCAAAGGAAGUGGCUUAAUGAUCCUGAAGGGAUUUCUUCUGAUGGUAGCUUUUAUAUUAUCAAACUUUUUUCAGAUAACAUCUUCUGAGUCAUAACCAGCCUGGCAGUAUGAUGGCCUAGAUGCAGAGGGAACAAACAGCUCGUUGGUGAAUGAUAAGUAAAGGCAGAAAAGAUUGUGUCAUACCUUCAUUGGGGAAUAAGCAUAACCCUGAGAUCCUUACUACUGAUGAAAAUAUUGUCUGCAUAAUGCAAAAAAAAUUAAGCAAAUGAAAGCUACCAAUUUAAAGUUUUAUGGAAUCUACUAUUUUAAAAUUAUGGCUUAUCAAGCUAUUUUCACAAAAAUGAAUCGAGAAACUAUGAAGAUCAAAUGCCCAUCUCAAAAACACUGCUUUUACAAAAGCAGAAUAAAAUGGAAUGAAAUGAAAAUGAUUAUACUACAUUGUUCCUGAAGUAAAAGAAGCUGAAAUAAUUGAGUGGGAUCAAGUGGAUUUGAGAGGAGGCUGUGCUGUGUGCCAAUCUUUCGUUUGCCUCAGACAGGUUUCUCUUCGUUAUCAGAAGAGUUGCUUCAUUUCAUCUGGGAGCAGAAAACAGCAGGCAGCUGUUAACAGAUAAGUUUAACUUGCAUCUGCAGUAUUGCAUGUUAGGGAUAAGUGCUUAUUUAUAAAAGCCGUGGAGGUGUUGAACCUGGCACUUUUUCCUGACCCCUUCCUUAGGGGAUUUCAGGAUCUAGGCACUUUCCCAUCCAGCCUUUUAAAAUUUUGGGCUUCCAAGGUGGGAUGGUACACCUCAUUCAGAGGCAUUUGCACCUUAAUUCCUUAAAAGCCUCUUAAGUGACCAGUGCCUUAAUCAUAAUGCUUAACAAAACAAAGGAAAUAUUUUUAACUUGAAUCUUACAAGACCCUAAAAGGGAUAGAUAGCAUAAUGUGCUGUUAAGAAUCAGAUAUGUUAAUCUUGCUAAAAAUUUUCAUGUUAACUUGCAAUGUAUAUUGUGCAUAAAACCAUUAAAUCAUACAAAUUAAUAAAAUACUUUAUUAGAGAAUGUAUGCUUUUAGAAAGCUGUCUCCUUAUUUAAAUAAAAUAUUGUUUGUCUGUAGUUAGUGUUGGGGCAAUCUUGGGGGGUAUUCUUCUCUAAUCUUUCAGAAACUUUGUCUUCGAACACUCUUUAAUGGACAAGAUCAGGAAUUGAGCGGAAGACCGAAUUUAACUUUAAGGCAGGAAAGACCAAUUUUAUUCUUCAUAAAGUGAUGAGAACUUAAUUAAUAAUUCCAGGCACAUGGCAAUAGAGACCCUCUAAAUAAGGAAUAAAUACCUUUUAGACAGGUGGGAGAUAAAGAUCAGAGUAAAAGGUAACUACACAUUUUGUUUCCAGGUAGUUGGGAGCCAAUAAGUUGAUAGUGAUUAAGCUAGAAUAAGAUACUUUCCAACAUUUCAUAGUUUGCAUGUUAACUUUUUAAAUGCUUAUUAUCAUUUCAUUAAGUGUCGCCACUGUUUCACACUAUUCAGUUAGGCAUUGGUGGGGGGCAUGUGGGUUUUUUGAGAAUUUUCCUUUGCAGAGGCUUCUUUUCAUCCUUCAUGAAGCUGUUCAGGAUGUUGACUUGCAUAUGAGUGCUUGGCUCUGCCUUCUGCUAGUGAGUGUGAGACCUUGCAGUGAGUUUAUCAGUAUAUUCAAAUUUUCCUGGAAUUUGGAGGGAAGGGAGGUGGGGAUGGGGCUUACUUGUUUUAGCUUCUUUUUUUACAGACCACACAGAGAAUGCAGUUGUCUUGACCUCAGGUCUGUCUGUUCUUUUGGCAAGUAAUAAUGCAGUACUGUUCUGAUCUGCUGCUAUUAGAAUGCAUUGUGAAACGACUGGAGUAUGAUUAAAAGUUGUGUUUCCCCAAUGCUUGGAGUAGUGAUUGUUGAAGGAAAAUCCAUGAGUGAUAAAGGCUGAGUGUUGAGGAAAUUUCUGCAGCUUUAAGUAAUCCAUGUUUGUGAUUGAAGCCAAGUACCUUUUGCUGUGCUGCUUUAGGUAAAAGCUUUUUGUUCUUUCUGGUAGGGGGGGCCGGGGGGGGGCACUGAAGCCUUUAGUCUUUUUCAGAUUCCACCUUAAAAUCAGUGACAAGAAUAAAUUCAAACAAGCAAGUCUUCAAGAAAUGUAACUGGCAAGUGGAAAUGUUUUGAACAGUUCAGUGGUCGUCAGUGCAUUUGUCUUUGUGUGGGUUUCUCUCCCCCUUCCCUUGGUCUUAAUUCUUACAUACAGGAACAUUGAGAACAGCAGACAUACGUAUUCGAAGGGCCAGAGAAGCCAGACCCAGUAAGGAAAAAUAGCCUAUUUACUUUAAAUAAAAAGUCAAACAUUCCAUUUUAAAUGUGGGGAUUGGGAACUACUAGUUCUUUCAGAUGGUAUUCUUCAGAUUAUAAAAGGAACUUCCAGUUGAUUUCACCAGUGGACAAAUUGAGGACAACAGGUGAACAAGCUUUUUCUAUAUUUACAUACAAAGAUCAGUUUCGGGUAAAUAACUUAGUGUUGAACAGACUUCAGCUUUAUGCUGAAGUCAGUAGCAUGUGAGCAAGUUGUGUGUUGGCCUGGGGGUGGAGGGGUGAGGUGGGCGCUAAGCCUUUUUUUAAGAUUUUUCAGGUACCCCUCACUAAGGCAUCGAAGGCUUAAAGUAGGACACCUGGAGCCUUCCUGUGGCAAGAGAGACAACAAAGCGCUAUUAUACUAAGGUCAAUAAAAGUGGUGUCGGCCUCAGCUUGAUUUCUAUUAACCAUGAGGACUUGCCUCAACACCUUUCUGGCAUAUAGCAUCCAGAAUGGUGCUCCCUGGGCUUACCUUAAAAUUUGAACAAGCUGUUUUUAUAGCAGCUUACGACAGCCCAGAUCUCAAGUGGUGUUUGAAGGGGAGGGAAAGGGGGAAAGCGGGCAACCAGUUUUCCCUAGCUUUUCCAGAGCCUGUUUAAAGCAAGGUCUCCCCACAAGUGACUUCUCUGCCACAUCGCCACCCCCUGCCUUUGGCCUAGCACAGACCCUUCACCCCUCACCUUGAUGCAGCCAGUAGCUUGGAUCCUUGUGGGCAUGCUGCAUAAUCAGUUUCAAGGUAACCACGGUGCCGAGGUCCGGUGGGUUGCACUACUAGAAGAGGCCGUUAAUUUAUGAACUUAACAGAAUAUUAAAACCACAGCUAAAUAGCUAUGUUUUACCUAUAUAUACACUUAUGCAGUGACUAAAACCAACUUAAACCACUAAGUAGAGAAGUAACAUGUCCAGAAUUGUAAUGUUGGGUGGGAACAGCUGACUUGACUGAAGAUAGGCAUUUAGCAGUUGAGGACUGCGGGGUGGGAUUGCAAAAAUUCUCUGCUAAGACUUUUUCAGGUGACUAUAACAGACUUGGCCAAGCUAGCAUCUUAGCGGAAGCAGAUUCUCCAGUGCUCUUCAGUAGGGUUGUAAAGGUUUUUCUUUUCCUGAGAAAACAAAACUUUUUGUUUUCUCAGGUUUUGCUUUUUGGCCUUUCCCUAGCUUAAAAAAAAAAAAAAGCAAAAGAUGCUGGUGGUUGGCACUCCUGGCUUCCAGGACGGGGUUCAAAUCCCUGCGGCGUCUUUGCUUUAACUCUUAAUAUCUGUCUUUAGGACUCUAGGGGUUUCCUCUCGGGAGGUGAACUCUAUGUAGCUUUGAUGUUGAAUUUGUCAAGAAGCCUGACUGGGUUGCGUGUUUUCAUGUGGAUACCUGAUAAACUGUUGUGUCUUUCAGGUAGCCCUCCUGCAUCUAGCGCUUGGAGAAGCCCUAUUAAGAACUGAUUUUAUGAAAUAAAAAAUUGAAAAGCUC